UCCCCGCUGGAGCGGCGACGUCUUCCCUUGCAUUCCUCUUCAGUYGUUGGCACAAGAGCAACGUCAUUGCCUUGGCCGCACGUGGGUUUCCUGUGUUGCGUACCUACCGAAAGGAAUUCGGUCGUCACAAAGAACGACKUUCGYCCGYUGCCGUGCCCCCUUGUGCGGGCGCGGCGUGGGGUGAACCGCGAAGACGGCCUCGUGKUUCCGGGACGGUGUCGACCGACGCGUCUCGGCCCAUGAGCUGCCGCCUGAGCUCUCGGAUGCAGUGCACCAGGAGGGCAGGGGGUGCGCAAYGGCCUCUAUUUGCCCGAACUCGGCGUCASYGACGCCCGYACCGAACGACCGCYGUCGUCGUCUCGAGACGUCGUGCCCGUCGGGCUCGUCGGCCUCGUGCGACGCCGGCGUCGGUUA
rnacentral:misc_RNA from 1 species